rnacentral:rRNA from 1 species
AUUGAACGCUGGCGGCAGGCCUAACACAUGCAAGUCGAGCGAGCGGCGGACGGGUGAGUAAUGUCUGGGAAACUGCCUGAUGGAGGGGGAUAACUACUGGAAACGGUAGCUAAUACCGCAUACCAUCAGAUGUGCCCAGAUGGGAUUAGCUGGUAGGUGGGGUAACGGCUCACCUAGGCGACGAUCCCUAGCUGGUCUGAGAGGAUGACCAGCCACAUUUGGACUGAGACACGGCCCAGACUCCUACGGGAGGCAGCAGUGGGGAAUCUUCCGCAAUGGACGAAAGUCUGACGGAGCAACGCCGCGUGAGUGAUGACGGCCUUCGGGUUGUAAAGUACUUUCAGCGGGGAGGCGUUACCCGCAGAAGAAACACCGGCUAACUCCGUGCCAGCAGCCGCGGUAAUUC